rnacentral:rRNA from 1 species
UGGGGAAUUUUGGACAAUGGACGCAAGUCUGAUCCAGCCAUGCCGCGUGCGGGAAGAAGGCCUUCGGGUUGUAAACCGCUUUUGUCAGGGAAGAAACGAGUUUCUCUAAUACAGAGACUUAAUGACGGUACCUGAAGAAUAAGCACCGGCUAACUACGUGCCAGCAGCCGCGGUAAUACGUAGGGCGCGAGCGUUAAUCGGAAUUACUGGGCGUAAAGCGUGCGCAGGCGGUUAUAUAAGACAGAUGUGAAAUCCCCGGGCUCAACCUGGGACCUGCAUUUGUGACUGUAUAGCUAGAGUACGGUAGAGGGGGAUGGAAUUCCGCGUGUAGCAGUGAAAUGCGUAGAUAUGCGGAGGAACACCGAUGGCGAAGGCAAUCCCCUGGGCCUGUACUGACGCUCAUGCACGAAAGCGUGGGGAGCAAACA